CCACCGGGACGCUGCGCGGGCGGUUGUUCUCUCGUUACACUAAGAAAACUGUUAAACGCACCACACGCCCUAACCCUUGUGACUAAGUGUGCUAGAGUGCUCCUUCAGGACCCGCUGGGGUCCGCUGCAUAGGCACUGAACUCAACGGCCGUCCUUUUACCUGGUGCAACGCUCAAACGCCGAGGAGCUGCCUCUGGAGCACGUCGUUAACCUGCCUGACGGAACCCCAGAAGGCCACGGACUUCCUCCUGGAGCAGGCCAGUCUCGUUUGUCCUAACUCAUCUGCAGGGUGCGUGCGGUGGUAAAGACGAUUAAAGGCAGGAUCGACCCACA